rnacentral:rRNA from 1 species
GCAAGUCGAGCGGACAGAAGGGAGCUUGCUCCCGGAUGUUAGCGGCGGACGGGUGAGUAACACGUGGGUAACCUGCCUGUAAGACUGGGAUAACUCCGGGAAACCGGAGCUAAUACCGGAUAGUUCCUUGAACCGCAUGGUUCAAGGAUGAAAGACGGUUUCGGCUGUCACUUACAGAUGGACCCGCGGCGCAUUAGCUAGUUGGUGGGGUAAUGGCUCACCAAGGCGACGAUGCGUAGCCGACCUGAGAGGGUGAUCGGCCACACUGGGACUGAGACACGGCCCAGACUCCUACGGGAGGCAGCAGUAGGGAAUCUUCCGCAAUGGACGAAAGUCUGACGGAGCAACGCCGCGUGAGUGAUGAAGGUUUUCGGAUCGUAAAGCUCUGUUGUUAGGGAAGAACAAGUGCGAGAGUAACUGCUCGCACCUUGACGGUACCUAACCAGAAAGCCACGGCUAACUACGUGCCAGCAGCCGCGGUAAUACGUAGGUGGCAAGCGUUGUCCGGAAUUAUUGGGCGUAAAGGGCUCGCAGGCGGUUUCUUAAGUCUGAUGUGAAAGCCCCCGGCUCAACCGGGGAGGGUCAUUGGAAACUGGGAAACUUGAGUGCAGAAGAGGAGAGUGGAAUUCCACGUGUAGCGGUGAAAUGCGUAGAGAUGUGGAGGAACACCAGUGGCGAAGGCGACUCUCUGGUCUGUAACUGACGCUGAGGAGCGAAAGCGUGGGGAGCGAACAGGAUUAGAUACCCUGGUAGUCCACGCCGUAAACGAUGAGUGCUAAGUGUUAGGGGGUUUCCGCCCCUUAGUGCUGCAGCUAACGCAUUAAGCACUCCGCCUGGGGAGUACGGUCGCAAGACUGAAACUCAAAGGAAUUGACGGGGGCCCGCACAAGCGGUGGAGCAUGUGGUUUAAUUCGAAGCAACGCGAAGAACCUUACCAGGUCUUGACAUCCUCUGACAACCCUAGAGAUAGGGCUUUCCCUU